rnacentral:rRNA from 1 species
GAUGAACGCUGGCGUCGUUCCUAAUACAUGCAAGUCGAGCUAACAGAUCUGUAUCUUUCUCCUCUUACGUUAUCGGCUGACGGGUGAGUAACACGUUUAUAACCUACCUAUAAUACUGGGAUCACUUCGGGACACCUUAGCUAAUACCGGAUUAUAUAUUUAACCGCAUGGUUCAUUAGUUACAGACGUUUUUGCUGUCUCUUCUAGAUGGAUCCGCGCCUCAUUAGCUAGUUGGUCAGGUAACGGCUUACCAAGGCGACGAUGCGUAGCCGACCUGAGAGGGUGAUCGGCCACACUGGAACUGAGACACGGUACAGACUCCUACGGGAGGCAGCAGUAGGGAAUCUUCCGCAAUGGGCGAAAGCCUGACGGAGCAACGCCGCAUGAGUGAUGAAGGUAUUCGGAUCGUAAAACACUGUUAAUAGGGAAGAACAAAUGUGUAAGGACAUAUGCACGUCUUGAAGGUACCUAAUCAGAAAGCCACGGAUAACUACGUG